CGGGAUCCAGGCGGGAGGGAAAGGGACGGAUCGCGUCUCCCUCCCUUCCUCCCGAGCGGGCCGUUUGACAUUGCCGCCCCUCCGGAGCGGGAGGAGCUACCGGGAGAGGGCGGGGCUCCCUGGAGAAGGGGAGGGGGCGGGGCCGAGCCCCUUCGGCAGCGCCCUUCUAACAGGAACUCCUGUGACGGCCUGUCACGGAGCGACAGGUAUUUAAAAGGGGCGGGUCAUCCCCAAGCAGCCAAUCGGAGCGGCACGGCCCCGCGCGCAGGGGAACGUUGCGUCCGUUGCCCGCCGUGGGAUAGUUGACUGGCAGUACUUUACUCCAAUCGGAGCGCGGCAUAUGAGUCACGUGGAGCCCCCCGGCGCCGUGCCAGGGCGCUGCGGUGCGUGUGGGCUGGCGGGUGGUGCCGCUCCCGGCGUCCUCUGGGGCGGCGCGGAGCGGAGUCCAGCAGAGCAUGCCGGGAGCUGUAGUCCGCCAUGGGGGGGCGCGGCGAGCCUGUGGCCGGUAACUCCGUUUGUUAGGAAUGUGUAUUUGUCCCGGUGGAAACUGCGUUAGCUAGCGCUGAGGGAUGUGGGAGAGUUUCGCCCUCAAGUAGUUGAGAGGAGUCGCCUGGGGCAAGAUCUGGGAGAGCCGUGCGUGUGCCACUUGCCUCAGCUUGGGAGCGCUUUCACGGAAUCCGUCAUCAGUUAGGUUGGAAGAGACCUCUGAGGUCAUCGAGUCCAACCUAUGGCCGAACACAACCAUGUCAACUCGACCAUGGCACUACGAGCCAGAUCCAGGCUUUCCUUAAACACCUCCAGGGAUGAUGACUCUACCACCUCGGUCAGGCGCAGUGACCAGCAAAUGGACACCUUAUUUUUUUUGGUUUUUUUUUUUUUUUUUCUUUUUGGUGGGGGGGGGAGGAGGGUGGGAUUAUUUGUUUUUCUUAAAUUGUCUUUUAGGAUUUUUCCCAUUGAAAUACUAUUUGUGAGCCCUGUGACUUCCUCAAAUAUUUUGCAACUUGUAGCUAUCUGGAGAAGAGUACUUGUAGGUAUUUUUCUGGACAACUGCUGCAUUAAUAACUGCAUUAGAGUUGCAAAAGAGUCACCUUGUUGUGGAAUAAACUGUUAAAAUGCACUAUGCAAUACAAAACAGGAGCUUAUGGGUGCUUUGGGAUGGUGUAAUUUGAAACCAUCCUUGCAUGUAGAUCUGAAGUGAGGACUCCAUCAUUGUCAAGAAGAGAACUCAGCAAUGACUACUUUGACUUUAUACAACUUGAAUUUCUUUGGAUUCUGCAGUGGCCUCAAAUGAUUACGGGCUUCAGAAGUGGAAAACUGAUGUGUUGAGGGUUCUUUAAAUUGCACAAUUGGUUCUACUUACAUCUCCUUCAUGUGACUUCCACUUGAAGCAGAGAUACACUUCAUGAUUUUUACUGCAGGCAGAUGUUACCCUUCUUCUGGAGAGAAACGUGACUGGUAUUGUUUUUGUGAUUUCCUUGUUUUCUUAAUUUACUCAUUGUGGUAGGUAACAAGGAUAAGACAGUGUUCAAAUGCUCUUUCAAAAGCAGUAGAGUAAUUCUGCCAGGCUUAGAAAAAAAUGCAGUGUCAUUUCACUGCAGUCCCACCACCCUACUGUGACCUGUAGCUUAAUGUGCACUGCCCUAACCUGGACUGUCAAGUACAAGUUGUAUGUGGUCUUUUCUAAUGUGAUAGGAGAAAAUUUUUAUGAAUACAGCCAGCACUGGUUCUCAGCUAGAGACUGGAAAAGCUGUGAAUAUUAAGUACAAAGACUGACCAUCUUUUACUUAAUUUUCUAUUUUAGUUGAAAAUGAGAUAUGCCUCUGAAGAUUACCCAGGUCCUCCAGAGUAUUAUAAGCCUUGUCUGUCAGCAUAUAUAUAAUACAAUUAUAAUACAAUAUACUUACACAAUACAAUUUUGUUUUGGAGUCCUACAGAGACUCCUAAAAAUUCUGAAAUGCAAGGUCAAACCCUGAGUGCUUUUAGGCGUACAAACCUGAUUCAUAUAAAUUUGUGAUCAUAAAAAGUUUUCUCUCUCUGUUACAUAUUAGAACAAUCUGAAGAAUGACAGAUCCCCAGUAGGAUGAAAAAAUGAAAUAUCAAUAUUUUAGUUCCUCUGCCUCCAUAUGGUAUUAUUAUUCUUUUACUCAUACACCCAAUAUUAAGGCACCUAGUUUUUUGAACAGGAAGCAGAAGCAAUCACCUUCCUAAGCACUAGUGCAAGGUAAGUCUGUGAGAAAUGCAUAUGCUGAAGGAUGAGAGAUAUAAUCAUGGCUUGUUCCACCCAUCCAUAGCUUGAGAAAUGAAUACCUCUCAACGCAGGUUUUUAAUUUGGUAAUUAGACAUUCUUGUGUUUGAUCUUAAGUUCAUUUCGGAAGUAGUACUCCUGUAAUUUGUAACCAUCACUUUUUAUUAACUCUUGGGAAGCCACACUUUUGUGUAUUGGGAGAUUAAGUGUAAUCAGAUUCCAUUUCACUAAAGCACUGCUGUGUAAACCACUUCACCUCCUGUUUAACUGAGAAACUGAACACGAAGAGACUUUAUGUUAACAAGGAAAGGAUGAAUAUUUAAAUUGGCUAGAAUGGUAUUAUGACUCUUCUGAGCCUCUUAGUACAUAGUUACUGGCAUUGCCUCUUUGUCUAUCCUUAUGUCAUCCUUAUUUUCAGGCAUCUGCAAGGAUUGGGAAAUGCUCUGGAGUUAUGAAUAAUACACUUGUAGCAGAGUUAGGAUGGAUAGUUAACGGGUGAGCUCUGUAAAAAAAUUGCUGUGCUUCCUCUGGAGAUCAGGAUGUCUUGGACAUUUGUGUUUUGGUUAUUUAUCAGGGUACAAUAAAGAGACAGAUAUGAGGAUUCUCUCUAGAAAUGGAUGAGGUGAAGAUACCUGCAGAUUUUGGGUAAUGGGGAAAAGUUGCUGUAAGGAUCCCCUGAAGAGUGAGAGAGGAUAUACUAUUGAAAAAAAUUCUUUCAAAUACAUCCUGAUUUAAAAAAGGGUCUCCCAUUACUAUGAUUAUUUAUCACAGCCAUUUUGCAUAGUGCUAAUUACAAUGACAGCUGCUGAUAAAGAAGGGGAGACGAGGCAAAUAUGGGAAAAUUUCAACUAGAUGAUGAAGAAAAAUGAUAGCACUCCAGUGCUAUAAAGGAGACAUAUUUCUAAAAGUAAAGAAGCUUUUAACAAUUUCAGAAUGGAAAGAGAAGGGAAUCCUAAAGAGAUGUUAGAGAUAAUCAAUUCAGACUUCUCACCAUUUGCCUGUCAUCCAUCUGUCCUGGUCCCCAGAGCGUGCUGUUUCUUAUUGAUGGAAUUUACAUGCACCUACACAAAUAUGCAGAUAAGGGAAGAUCAAAAGAUUUUGCCUCGCACGCUAACAGAAGGUACAAAGGUCUGCCAAAGGCUCAUUAAUCCAUGGCUGAUCCUGAGGUUUCCAACUUAUCCUCUGUUGCUUUGUCAUAUGAAGCCUUACACAGGGCACUUGGAGUGCAGAAGGAGUAUGCCCUGGAUGCCAGCCAAAUGAAAGAAGACAGCUGAGGGGAAUUCCAGCUGUUAUGGGGAAUGAUGCUGCAGAAGGACUGCUUAGUUUGGAGCAUUUCUAUUCCAGUGGUGCAAUGACAAGUAAAUCAACAGGUUUCAACAAUCUGUAUUUGUUAGUCUAGCCCAGCAGUGACAGAGCUGCAGUGGUAUGAGGACACUAAUGGAGCAGGUUCUCUGUUAUGACUAAGAGGAAAAGAGGCUGGGAAUUCUCCUCCUGUGAUGCAAGUGAAAGUGUUACAAUACAAGCUGCAGCAAAGGACAAGACUAGAGAUAAAUGCACUAUUUGAGAGAGAAGGCAAGGCAUUAUAAAAACAUCCUGAACCACCUAGUGAUGUAUUUGUUCAGCAGAGCUUUUAAAAAGUGCACUAAUGGCCCAUUUUAUCUAUCACCCCAAGUCAAUGAAAAACGCCCAUUGACUUAAAUAGGCAUUGGUCCAAAUGCUGAGCUUUUACAAAUAAUUAUACUCAGUGUACUGAAGUUACCAGUAUUUCUCUUCAGGCUGAAUGCUGCUCCCUCCACUGUGUGCCCUGACUUCAAUAAAUAAACAAACUUUCCCCUUUUCCUACUUAUAUGAAACCAUGGUGCUUCCACCACUACUCCCAAACCACCUGGUAGAUGUUGAAGUUUUUUAGAUUGAAGCAGUAGUCUGACCCAGAAAACACUGCUGGGUGGGAAAACCACACAUAAAAUAUGUCUUUGUUGCAUACAAUCUUACUGGAGCACAGUUGGUGGCUUUGGAAACCAUGGGACUUUAGAUUGUGUGUUUUAAUUUCUUGCUCUUAGGCUGUUGUGUUAUUUGUCCUCAAAACUAUCCUAAUCCACACUUUCCAAGGAAUUUCUUUUAAGUACAGUGGCAAAAAGGGUGACCAGUGUUCCAUCCAGUCCACUGUCUCCUUAGCAAUUUUUUUUUUCUCAACUGUUUGAACCAUUACUUGAUUUUUUUUUCCUUGUUUAGUUUCCUUUGCUACUCUUGCCCACUUUGAUCUGUAUUGAAACCCUCAGCAAUAUAUUUUAUCAUCAGAAACCUGUCCAAAAAUCUGUAAUAUCCAAUGAAGAAUAAAUAAGAUGGUGGCUGGGAACAAAACUGGAUUUCUUCCAAUCUGCUGCCCUACUACUGCUACUAGCACUAGCAAUAAUAGAAAUAGAAACAGAAAAAUAAUACUUCAAUUUCUUGGCAUCCUCUUGGCUCAGAUGAAGGCAUGAUGAUAUCAAGGAGCAUAAGCUGGUUCUGGAGUGGAAUGAAGCCACUGGAACGUAUCCUAGAGCUAAGCAUCCACUUUCUAAGUUAGUACAGAUGCCACCUUACCUUGUGUAGACAAUGAAAAAGUCACAGUGGAGACUCAGUAAGUCAAGGAACAGCUUACCAGGAUAAAAAAGGAACUGUCUAGGCUUUCAGUGUUGGGAGAUUUGGGUGCUAUCUGUGAUGAUCUCCUAGCAAAGUAUUGGUACCUGCACUGUACUGCCUUUUGGGAACCCGAGUAUUUUAUAAGUUUUUAUGUUUGUAUCAGCUCAGGACUGAUAACAACAGAAAUUGAACUACUUAUCCACCUUCUUUGUUUAUAAUUUAUUUCUUUUUUUAGGAAUAUAAUCCUUCUCUCAUGAACGAUCCAGAGAUGCAAACUAAUAAGUGAAUGAAUUAUAACGUUUGUAGAAUAUUGUAGGUUGUAAGGGAUGUCUGGAGUUUACCUAAUCCAACACAAAAGAUAUCUGGUUCAGAGUUGCUUUUUCUCUGUCUUGGUAAAAAGCAGAGCCUCAUGGGUCACUAAGAAUGUAUUUUUGGAUUCUCUGUAUGCCUACAUUUCAAACUCAGUAGGAAAAGGUUUAUAAUUUAGAAAAACUAGUUUAGAGCCUCCAUAAAAAAAUCAAAAUAUUAUUGACUGGGCAAAAUAUUGGGGAAAGUUUCACAGUGCUUGCAAGGAGGAAAAUAAUAUGUAAAUAUCUUUUUUGCUGUUAUUUUCAAGAUGGAAAACUUGAUGCAGAAGGGGUUAUUUAUACUGACAGACUGGUACUUAAACAAAUAAGCUGAUUAGAGAUCCACAGCUUGGAGAUGAGUUACUGCAAAUAAGCAAAGAACGAAAAAGGAUCUAUGUGAAUUAUAUAAAUACAGAAAAACCUUUGUGAAGUGUUCUACAAAGGUAUGUGAUAAAAGAAACUAGCACAGUGUGUUCAGAGGUGAACCUGACAACAAAUAGACUAAAAACAUUUUUUUUAAAUUUUCUUUUACCAGUUUGAACCCAAGGAACUCAAAGGUCUUUGUACUCAAAUUAAAGAUUAAUAAACCUUGGCCAUCUCUCAAGAGUUGAUGUGGAAUGUGACAGUCAUUUUCUGGCAAUCUCACACAGGAUCAUGAGAUGAGGCUGGGUUCCUGGGAGCAGGCACCAUCUCUUAACCUAUUUUAGAAGAGCUUGCUUUGAUGUUCUUCUCUAUGCUGUAUUGUGUGAAAUUAAAGUGAAACACUAGCAUUACUUUACAAAAGAAGAAGGUAAUACAUCAUAUCUGAAGAUAAAGAAAGCUGGCAUUAACAGAGUAAUUAUGAACAGUGGGGCUGCUAUUUUGCCUGUGCUUCAGAAUGGACCCACUACAGAGAAAUAAAUUGAGAAUAAAGCACUGUGUCUCAUCUCAAAAUGAUAUGAAAAAGACUUCUGAAGUUGUCUUAAGACUGUUUCUGUGGGGCUGCUGGCACAAAGUUCCCAGGAAAAGCACAUGCCUGACAGAGCUGCUGUAACCCAAAGAAACCUAGAUGGUGGCUGAUGAGGAACGACACCUGAUAAAUAACAAAAGCUUGUUUUAAGUUUAGUUCCUGUGGAAUGAAGCUUCAAAAUCAAAUGUAAGAAAGAAAGAUCAGAGUGUAGGAUGAGUGGAGAACAGAAGCAUACACCGCCUCUGAAAGAGGGGAGAAAAGGGCAUCUUGAACCAUUUGUGAAAAGAAAAGGAAGAAAUUCUAAAAGACGUGGGCUGGAGAGUGUCAAGACUAAAGACACAAGAUGGUUAUGGAGAUUCUCUGUUACCUAUCACUUGCACCUGAGUACAGCAAUGUGUGUAUGCUGCCUGGAUGUAGCCUGCUGUAGCCUGUGAGCAUUGUUUUCCUGUUUCCUGGCUGCUAAUGGUGGUCAUCCAGGGCAGGAGAAGUGAAAAGUUGCAUGGAGUUAUUGGGCAACCAAGCCAGCCUGGCUCUUGUCACUGCUGCACUUGCACAUCUUGCAUGGCUCAUCCUCCAUUGAUUCAGGUGGUUCCUGCUAAUUCCCCUCCCCAGUGGGAUUGGGGAGAGAAUUGGAAGAGUAAGAGUGUGAAAACUCAUGGGUUGAGAUAAAGGCAGUUUAAUAGGUAAAGAAGAACUGCACACACAAGCAAAGCAAAGCAAGGAAUUAAUUUACUGCUUCCUGUCACCCCCAGGAUAACAGGGCUCCAUCACCUCUCAUGGUUAUCUGGGAAGACAAAUACCAAUGCUUUGGAUCUUACCCCUUCCUCCUUAUUCCCCCUGACUUUUUUGUAUGCUAAACAUGAUUGUAUACAGCAUGGAAUAUCCCUUUGGUCUGCUGGCUGUACCACUAGCUGUCCCAGCUGUGUCCCCUCCCAGUUCCUUGUGCACCCCUAGCCCACUCUGUGGGCAUGGUGUGAGAAGCAGAAAAAGUCAGUGUGAGCACAUCUGAGCAGUAGCAAAAACACCCCUGUUUUAUUAACAUCAUUUUCAGGACAGAUCCAAACCCCAGCCCCACACUAUCUAAUGUGAAGAAAAUUAACUUUACUGCAGCCCACUGCUGUAACAGACAGUCAGGUAAUAAUAUGAUUAAGACAUAAGAUUUUGUUUCUCUAUUAAUCAUGGAGUCUGGCUUUUAUGGUCAAUAUAUUUUGUUUACAGGGUGGGUGAGGUUCUUAUUUUGUUGCUUUAAUGUCAGGCUAGCAGAAAAUGUGUCUUUUUCUAAGUCAAUAAAGAAACCCCAGCAACAGCA